AAAUUCAUCUGAAAGGCACACGUAUAAAAAUUUUAAUUCCCAUAAUGAAUACAGCUACAUCACCUCGCACGAUGUACACGGGUCACCAACGCUAACUAGCAGGGUCCAUACAGAAGAAAUACGAAAUCCAGACCGUUGUUUAUUGUCUGACUUUCUCCGAUGAUGGGAAUGCAGAACCGAUACAACACGUUGCACGGAGGGGUGGUGGCAACGAUAGCAGAAACAAUGGCGCUGGCUUGCGUAAAAAGCGUUGCUGGGGAUAAGGACUUCUUUCUUGGAGAAAUGGCCACGACCUUUCUGUCUGCCACCCGAGUCAACGAGGAGAAUUUUGCAGGGCUAAACCAACCUCAGAAAGAACUAUUUUAAGAUGCAUCUCUCUUUAGUUAUGCGCAGAGCUAAAAAUUGGCAACAGAAGUUAUGAAAAACUAGCGAAAUGAGGAAGUGGAAGUGGACGGAUGCAUCAAAAGGCAUGGAAGAAACGUGAUUGUAACAUCAGUAGAAUUUAGGAAGAAGAAAACGAGGCAGCUGGUCUACAGCGGUCGUGGCAUCUACCACAGCAUGCCUGUGGCAAGCUUGUGAAAACCACAUUCUCCAAGUUUGUAGCUCGCCCUCCCUCUGUAAGAGUAAA